AGCAGCCGCGGUAAUUCCAGCUCCAAUAGCGUAUAUUAAAGUUGUUGCAGUUAAAAAGCUCGUAGUUGAAUUUCGGGAUUCUACCGUCGGUCGGGCUACCAAGUCUGUACUGGUGUGUAGAAUUCCUACCUUCUGGGGAACCAUCAUGUUAUUAAUUUAGCGUGGUGGGAACCAGGACCUUUACCUUGAAAAAAUUAGAGUGUUCAAAACAGGCUUAUGUCUGACUACAUUAGCAUGGAAUAAUAGAAUAGGACGGUGGUCCUGUUUUGUUUGGUUUCUGAAUCACCGUAAUGAUUAAUAGGGAUAGUUGGGGGCAUUAGUAUUCAAUUGUCAGAGGUGAAAUUCUUGGAUUUAUUGAAGACUAACUUCUGCGAAAGCAUUUGCCAAGGAUGUUUUCUA
rnacentral:rRNA from 1 species